rnacentral:rRNA from 1 species
UACGUAGGUGGCAAGCGUUAUCCGGAAUUAUUGGGCGUAAAGCGCUCGCAGGCGGUUUCUUAAGUCUGAUGUGAAAGCCCACGGCUCAACCGUGGAGGGUCAUUGGAAACUGGGAGACUUGAGUGCAGAAGAGGAGAGUGGAAUUCCACGUGUAGCGGUGAAAUGCGUAGAGAUGUGGAGGAACACCAGUGGCGAAGGCGACUCUCUGGUCUGUAACUGACGCUGAGACGCGAAAGCGUGGGGAGCAAACAGG